rnacentral:rRNA from 1 species
AUAUGCUUGUCCCAAAGCUUAAGCCAUGCAUGUCUUAGAACAAACGGUCUCGUGAAUCUGCGAACGGCUCCGUAUAUCUGUUGUCACCCGCCUCCAUCCGCCCGGGGGAUGCCUAUCCCCCCCGGCAGCGGAUACCCACGGUAAUUCUGUGGCUAAUACGUGUAUGAACCGAGGGCUACCGCGCAAGCGGCUAGCCCUCGGCCUUGCCGCCUUAUCAAGACGCGGGCCUCGGCCCUACCGCCUGAUGCAGGCAAGUAGCCCUACCGGCCAUUUGCUUGGCCGGAGUGUGGGACGGGCUUCAGACCUAUCAACUAUACGGCCGGGGAUAGCCCCGCCGUGGUGGCGACGGGUACAGAGGAUCAGGGUUCGAUCCUGGAGAGGUAGCCUGAGAGAUCGCUACUACUUCUAAGGAAGGCAGCAGGCGCGCAACGUUCCCAAUGGGGACACCCUGAGGACGUGACGGGACAUAUCAAUGCCUCGCCCAUAAAGCGGGGCAAUUGAAAUGGGGGAUAGCCAAACCCUCCACCGAGUAACAAUUGGAGGACAAGUCUGGUGCCAGCACCCGCGGUAAUUCCAGCUCCAAUAGCAUCUAGUUAAGUUGCUGCAGUUAAAACGCUCGUAGUUCAAGCUGGUGCGCACGCCGCCCGCCUAGUAGCGAUAGGCCCGGGGCCCACCCUCUUCUUGGGUGUUGGCCCUCGCCUGGAGUCAACGGCGGGAGCGCAGGCGUGCCACCACAGUUUGCCGGAGUUCAAAGCCGACGGCGGUCCUUCGGUGGUCCGCCGCCCGGUCUCCGGUGCUUUCCUUUGAGUAAAUGUGAGCGCUCAAAGCGGGCCGUUCCGGCCCUUGCAACCCGCAGCAAAGAAUAAUGAUAUGGGCUCCCUCGGAUGCGUCUAGCGAGGGGGAGCCAAUUGGUCGAUGGGUUGGAUCGGGGUGGGCCACAUGGCUGGGGUAGGGGUGAAAUCCGUUGAUCCUAGCCAGGUGAUCUAACGCGAAAGCAGCCCACAAGUACCUGCCCUUCGAUCAAGAACGAAAGUCUGGGGAUCGAAGAUGAUUAGAUACCAUCGUAGUCCAGACCCUAAACGAUGCCGGCUACGGAUGGGCUCGUGUCCAUCCCGACCCAGACCGAACCUUGUGGGAAACCAUUAGCGUUUGGGCUCUGGGGGGAGUA